AGCAGCCGCGGUAAUUCCAGCUCCAAUAGCGUAUAUUAAAGUUGUUGCAGUUAAAAAGCUCGUAGUUGAAUUUCGGGGUUAGUAGAUUGGUCGUGCCACGGGUAUGUACUGGUCUUACUGAUUCCUCCUUCCUGAUGAACCGUAAUGCCAUUAAUUUGGUGUUGCGGGGAGACUGGACUGUUACUUUGAAAAAUUAGAGUGUUUAAAGCAAGCCUACGCUUGAAUACAUUAGCAUGGAAUAAUGAAAUAGGACGUUCGAUCCUAUUUUGUUGGUUUCUAGGAUUGACGUAAUGAUUAAUAGGGAUAGUUGGGGGCAUUAGUAUUCAAUUGUCAGAGGUGAAAUUCUUGGAUUUAUUGAAGACUAACUACUGCGAAAGCAUUUGCCAAGGAUGUUUUCAUUAAUCAAGAACGAGAGUUAGAGGUUCGAAGGCGAUCAGAUACCGCCCUAGU
rnacentral:rRNA from 1 species